rnacentral:rRNA from 1 species
CUGCAAGUCGAGCGAACAGAUAAGGAGCUUGCUCCUUUGACGUUAGCGGCGGACGGGUGAGUAACACGUGGGUAACCUACCUAUAAGACUGGGAUAACUUCGGGAAACCGGAGCUAAUACCGGAUAACAUUUGGAACCGCAUGGUUCUAAAGUGAAAGAUGGUUUUGCUAUCACUUAUAGAUGGACCCGCGCCGUAUUAGCUAGUUGGUAAGGUAACGGCUUACCAAGGCGACGAUACGUAGCCGACCUGAGAGGGUGAUCGGCCACACUGGAACUGAGACACGGUCCAGACUCCUACGGGAGGCAGCAGUAGGGAAUCUUCCGCAAUGGGCGAAAGCCUGACGGAGCAACGCCGCGUGAGUGAUGAAGGGUUUCGGCUCGUAAAACUCUGUUAUUAGGGAAGAACAAAUGUGUAAGUAACUGUGCACGUCUUGACGGUACCUAAUCAGAAAGCCACGGCUAACUACGUGCCAGCAGCCGCGGUAAUACGUAGGUGGCAAGCGUUAUCCGGAAUUAUUGGGCGUAAAGCGCGCGUAGGCGGUUUCUUAAGUCUGAUGUGAAAGCCCACGGCUCAACCGUGGAGGGUCAUUGGAAACUGGGAAACUUGAGUGCAGAAGAGGAAAGUGGAAUUCCAUGUGUAGCGGUGAAAUGCGCAGAGAUAUGGAGGAACACCAGUGGCGAAGGCGACUUUCUGGUCUGUAACUGACGCUGAUGUGCGAAAGCGUGGGGAUCAAACAGGAUUAGAUACCCUGGUAGUCCACGCCGUAAACGAUGAGUGCUAAGUGUUAGGGGGUUUCCGCCCCUUAGUGCUGCAGCUAACGCAUUAAGCACUCCGCCUGGGGAGUACGACCGCAAGGUUGAAACUCAAAGGAAUUGACGGGGACCCGCACAAGCGGUGGAGCAUGUGGUUUAAUUCGAAGCAACGCGAAGAACCUUACCAAAUCUUGACAUCCUUUGAAAACUCUAGAGAUAGAGCCUUCCCCUUCGGGGGACAAAGUGACAGGUGGUGCAUGGUUGUCGUCAGCUCGUGUCGUGAGAUGUUGGGUUAAGUCCCGCAACGAGCGCAACCCUUAAGCUUAGUUGCCAUCAUUAAGUUGGGCACUCUAGGUUGACUGCCGGUGACAAACCGGAGGAAGGUGGGGAUGACGUCAAAUCAUCAUGCCCCUUAUGAUUUGGGCUACACACGUGCUACAAUGGACAAUACAAAGGGCAGCUAAACCGCGAGGUCAUGCAAAUCCCAUAAAGUUGUUCUCAGUUCGGAUUGUAGUCUGCAACUCGACUACAUGAAGCUGGAAUCGCUAGUAAUCGUAGAUCAGCAUGCUACGGUGAAUACGUUCCCGGGUCUUGUACACACCGCCCGUCACACCACGAGAGUUUGUAACACCCGAAGCCGGUGGAGUAACCAUUU